rnacentral:tRNA from 1 species
GGGUGCAUAGCUCAGUGGUAGAGCAUGUGCUUAGCAGGUACAAGGUUCUGGGUUCAAUCCCCAGUAUCUCCA